AAGACUUGUCCAUCCAGCCUCACAUGUUGGAGCCAGAGUCUGACCCAGAGCCAGAGGAGAAUUAAGACCAGACAUUAUUUAGUAGUUCUGUCGCAAACUCUGACAUAAUUGUUAAAUAAACUGAGCGGGGUUGAAAAAUAUGACCCAAAUAUCACUCAGACUCCAAAUACACAACCAAAUGCAUUUAACAGCUAAAAAAAGUGGAUUUUUCAUGAUAUGUCCUCUUUAAUCRAUGUGAGAUUAUUUAUGAUUUCAGCAAAAAAAUAAAUAAAUAUAUAAAACCGAUUCACACUUCAAUAUCAUUUUUCCUGUUCUUUAUUAAAAUACUGCUGUACACACAAAUAUUGCAAAAUCUGAGACAAGAACACAAGAGGGGCAUAAAACAUACUAAGAUGGUGAUUGUAGACAUGUCGCUGGGGGGUGGGGGUGGGGGGGGCAGGUGUCAUCAUUAUUAUUAACCGGAGUGUGUGUUAUGUGGUGUUGAGCAUUGACAUCCUGUAUGAGGAGGUGUGUGUCUGCGUGUGUUGGAGGUUUUCUAAAGCACCACAUUCACCAACAUGUCGCCUGUUUAUUUCACUAAAACAGAGGAAGUGGUACAUGAUGUAACCUGGCUCACCUGUUGCCAUCAAGAACAGACCGACGACUCAAAAGGCGGACAGCCGAUGAGACGACACUUCAUUUAGAGACCAUCUGGUUCCUCCUGUUUCUUCACAAUCAAACAAGAGGAUUUGUUUUGUCUUUUAUUGGAUUGAUUGGAUAGGUUAAAAAAUAUAUAUCUUUUUUUUAUUAUUAUUUUUUUGCAGUUUAAGCCAAACGAAAAGAGAUCUGUGCUUCAGGGCAACAUGAAAUCCUUCGCAGCAUGAUCUCCACAAGGUUUCUUAAACUUUCUGUUUGAAGUUGUCCCACCCGCUCCAAUGAAGUUCAUUUAUCUGCCUGGACAUGGAGGGGAUGGGGGGCAGCCAGUGACACCCAAACACAUUCAAUCACUGGGCCCCUCCAGCAGUUAUUUUUUUUUUUUAAUUUUUUUUUGUCAUCCUGAGAGAAAUCCAAGCCAUCCGAGGUGGACGCAACAGCCAGCGCGCCACUACCGAGUCUCUUUCCAUGAUCUUAAAACAUCAAAUUAAAAAAAUAAUAAUACAAUUCCCAUCUUUUUCGUCCCCCCCACCCUAAUUUUAUACCUAAAACUUCUGCUGGAAUUGGUCCACACAUUAUUAAAAGAGUGGGGCAAAAAAAUAAUAAUAAUCGAUUGCCCCUCCCAUGUCUCGUCGUGCAUUUCUGCACAAAGCUGGGCGAAGAGAAAAAGAAGCAGCUGGUAAAAAGUCACAACGUUUCACUGUUUCUCAAAACAAAAGCCCCCGCCCUGAAGGGAAGUGACGUUUGGGAUAAGAUGAAAAGAGGAGGGCAGGUAAGAGACAGAGAAGGGGGAGAUUGUAGGGGAGUGAGAAGACUGAAAAGGGGGCGGGGUCAAAUUAAGGACAUUCCACAAAGAGGCAGCUGUGGCUCCACUAGUGCUGACCCGAAAAGGCCCAUCUUUGAUGUCACAACAGUGUCCAUAAACCAAAAGGUGGUUGCUGCAUAAGUAACAAAUCACUUGGAGAGGACAACCGUUCCUCACUUACCCCCACUGCAACAGAAUCUGGUCCCGAGUCCAAAGCCCCGCCCACCCACAAAUAUGAGCCUUUAUCUCCUGACCAAAAUGUCAGAAAUCCUCAUUUUCCAGUUUAAAAACCCUUCCACCUAGCCCCAGUGGUUCGUCCUUUCACGAGGUGGAACCAUCAAACAAGGCGGAGGUGGGCUGGCCCGGUUCAAGAACCGGGUAACACCCCACCACAACAAAGGCCUUGAGUGGUGCGUCCCGUCUCUGAGUGCGUAAGAAUGAAGGGGUGUGAUCUCCAACCCGCAGAGAAACGUGGUCAAAAGAAAGCUGGAUUUCUUUGCUUUCAGCUCUGGUCUGUGUGUGUGUGUGUGUGUGUGAGUGUGUGUGUGUGUCUGUGUGUGAGACUUUAGGUCUCUGUGCACCCUGUAGGCCACUCACACAUAUUCAUAAAAAUAACAAAGAAGUUUGACCAAAAAAAUUAAAAUCUUAGUGCAUCCUUCUCAGAAAAAUAAACCCCAACUGUAGAAAUAAACAAUAAAAGCAGGAAAAUAGUCCAAAACCUGGUGGUUUGUCUCAUUUUGUUCCCCAAAUUUAGAAAAAAAAAAAGUUGUUUAUCACAGCUUCUUGAACUGUCUUUUUUUUUCAGCUGCAGGGUUUAGGAAAACAAAACAAAAACAAAAAUUCACUUUAAAAAAGCCUCCUGGUGGACAGGGAUCAGUGUAUGUGACUGAGGUUCACGAAGCCCUGCCUCGCUGCCCGUUGCUGUGUGUUGAUGUUGUGUGUGUGUGUGUGUGUGUGUGUGUGCCUGGUCCUCCGCUGUAGUGCAAUUGUGUGCUCCAGGUCCGGACAGUCCCGCCCUGGGCCCGAAGAGGGCGCUACAGAGAGCCGGCCGCAGCAGCCUGCAGCUCCUGGAAGGUGCUGUCGAAGCAGCGCUUCAGGUCCGAGUACGUAACAACCAGGACGCUUUUCUCAUCCCGAGAAACCAGGCUGAUCUUCUCUGGAACACCCGCGUCCAGCUGAACACACACACACACACACACACACACACACACACACACACACACACACACACACA